UCCUUAGUCCACAGCAAUGGCUUUCGCCAGACGCAUAUAUGCGUCCUUAGUCCACAGCGAUGGCUUUCGCCAGACGCAUAUAUGCAUCCAUAGCACUCUAAGGGUUAAAAUGGUCGAUACAAUAAACUGAUAUAGGCGAGAUGCUGACAAACGGGUCAAACGUGAACUCUCACAUCUGAAGAAUACUUAGCGACUGAAAUAAGAAGCAGUCGCAGCGCGCGGAUUAAUCCGCGCUUGGAUGCAAAUGGGUUUUCAACAGUACGUAUAAUGGUGUACAGAAUUAUUCUGCAUAAUGAAACACAGAAACUGUAUACUGCAGGUUAUUUGUAAGUGUAUUUACAUGAAAAUUUUUAAAUUGGGAAUUUCAAAUCAGAUACGAUGUAUUUUAUACCUAUCACAAAUUAACACGCAUUAACUUGAGGACCAAAUUGGCGCUUUAUACACAGCUUCGAUAUUUUAUUAUGUAAAUAGAGCUUUUAGAUUUUAUAAAAUAAUUCUUGGCAAAAUAUAUACGUAUAUAUUUAUUACGUAUAGUGAUAGAAUGUCGUGUACAUUUUAUGUUCGUAUUAUUUAUGAUUCUAAUACCAUAAUUUUCAACAAUUAAUAAUGAUUAAAAUAAAUUUUUAUUAUAAGAUAAAAUAGGUAUACGAAAAUUUACCAAUAUUCCAAUUCCAAAUUUGUCAAGGUAACGGAAUUAAGUAUUUGCUAGUAAUUUUUUGAUAAACUUUGAAAAGAUUGUAUUUCGAUCCGAAGCCGCAUCGCAGGAAACUUUUCUAAAGAAAACUUAUUAUUAUUCCUAGCAUUGAGAAAAGUCAGAAAACGAAAUCUUAGUAGAUACAAUUCACUUUCAUUUAAACAAUUUUAGACACCAUUGUAUGUUUAACAUAUUUUCUUUUAGUAAACGAAAAACAUUAGAAUUUAGUCUUAUCGAAUGACGACCACUUUUAAUUCCAAAAAAAAUUUAAUAAUUUCAUAAACAAAUAAAGCUCGAAGCUAAAAAGAAGAUUAUGAUUCUAAAAAGUUAAUAAAUUUCUCAUUCUUUCUGAGCUAUAGAAAAAUCAAGCGACAAUUUUUGCCAAACAAUAGUUUUUCAACAUAAUCGAUCGAAGAUCAAAAUGAAAUCCUAAUACGUUACCGUGGAAUUUCGUGCAAAAUUGAAAAUUGGCGUUGAAGCGACCAGCGGGGCAGAAACUUUGCUAAAAGUUUUGCAAAAUCGGAUCGUUCGACUACGAGUACAAAGCUUGGCUAUGGCAACUUCAUCGGAAGCGGUCGCCAUCUAAAUCGGAUGUCGAGAAUCCAGAGGAGUGGAAAAUAAGAAAUGCCGAUGAUGAUAAUGUUUGAGAAAUGGGACCAGGAAAAAGUUUGUUGUAACUACUUUUCCCGGCUGCUUUUUUAUUAUACACCUUUUUUAUUCUGCGACUGUUGCAACAAUUCGUCGCAAGCUUCGACGCUAGUCCGUAUGUUGUCCGAUUUUUCUAGUUACCUCGUACAAAAACCGAUAAGUAACAGAUGAUAUUGAAAAUUGAAAUCAUGAAAAUCUUAUUCGUUACGUCUCGUUCAGAGUAAUGAAGUUACCUGAAUUCAAAGAUAGAAAGAAGGAGAAGAGACAGAAAAAUGAAAAGACACUUCGAGUUAAAUAACAAUUGCCAAAGUGGUUUCGCGUUGUUUCAGUUCAAAUAUUUUGGAUUCAGAUAACUUGAUUAAUUUGAACAAAGUGAAAAAAAUGAGUAAAGUGACAAAUUAUUAGUAAUAAAUUGAACACAGUCGAUAGCAAUGGAUAGACUUAUUGACUUCAUUGUGUAAAAUACAUUUUUAACCCUUUGACAGUAUAUAAAGAAUGACAAAUAAUUAAGAAUGAACAAUAAUUCAGUUUAAAAUUUAAUCGAUUCGUAAUACAGUUUGCUGGUAGUAAUAUAUUUCCGGUUAUUAUUUGAAGCUUCCGGAGGCUAAACUGAUCCACUCCGCGCUUUAUGAAGCUUUCAAACAUAUUACAUGAGUGUAUAAUAUAAUUUAUUUUCGUAACUGAAUUUGUCACACGAAGACAUCAAUAAUUACAAAUUCCAAAGCGAAUUGAGGAAAUAUAAUACUUAUCUGUAAUCGUCGUUUUAAUUUAUGAAUUUUAAACUCUUUAUUCUCAAGAUUUCUUGUACUUCUGAUAUGAGAUAACUAAGAAAUACUUACGUUCAACCUUUUAUAAGAAAUGAAUAUCACUAAUCAUAUUACGUAUAGUGAUAUUUAAGAUAUGAUAUUUAAAAUAUUAUAUUCGAUGGCUUUUGACCCGAGUUUCUGUCGGGUUAUACUGUUAAAGGGUUGGUCUUUUAACAAUGAAAUGGAUAACAUGGCGGUGAAGUGGGAUAAGUAAAAGGUAACUAUUUAUUUCAAUUACAAGAUGCGUAGCGAUCAUAAAAUUUUCUGUUCUAUUGAAAGAAAAAUUCUAGCGGUAUAACUCUUUAACGAACUCAUAAAUGUGCGUAUAUAUAUAGGAUAUACUUCGCCUAAAAUCAAAAAUUAUAUAUUGCACUUAAAUAAUGCAAGGCACGAUAUCGUAUGAACCAUCCUUUACGUACCUUCGAAAAUUAAAUUCAAACUUUAACUAGUUCAAUUAUUUAUUUAAUUAUCCUCCGUUCUAGUCUCUAAUAUUAAAUAAUUUUGUAUCUUGGUCGUGAAAACAUAUUUCUAUUUGUUGCUUACUUUUUUUAGGUUAUGAAUAUCAUCGAACUCAGUAUCCCUUAAAAGUUACCAUCAAGAGCCAAUGCUACCAAUCCAUAAGGCUAUCACGGAUGAUAUUUUACCAAAGUAUAUUUCUUUAUUUAAAAAAUCAAGUAAAACAUAUAAACCAAUAAGGUUAGAGAAAUGAAAUUUUGAUUAUCAUUAUAUUCAGUAUCAAAUAGAAAGUUAAAAGGUUAUUGUUUGCAGUGAUUACAAAUAACAUUACGGUCGUAUUAUUACGAAACGAUAAUAUUUAAAAAAAAAAAAAACAAAGUUCCCAAGGGGUAAAAUUUCAUCCAUGCGAAUAGGGUUAUAUCAAUAUUAUUAAUAGGGGUCAUCCAUGUGGAGGUUAACAACUCAUCAUUCCUACUUAUAUUUGUUGAUAGACAUUACUAUUAACAUUACGUCGUGAAUGAUUUAACUACGUUGUGCUGAUAUUAAUAUCCUUGCAUUUAACGUUGUUCACUAUAGAAUAAGAAAAUCGAGAAACUAUAUUAACCACGUAUAUAGGUGGUCUUUUUAUGCGUAUGAAUUAUAUGCGAGUAUGCGAGCAUUCAAAAAAUGCAAAUAAACAGACAGCCAACAACAGUCGUUAAUAUCGAAUAUUAACAUGUUAAAGCGCAUAUGUAAGAAAAAUCGACAGGCACUGCAUGCGUAUUCAUAUCGCUUGUCGUAAAAAAAGUUGGAAGCAUACCUCCGAUAUUCUAUGUUCACGUAUAUAAUUAUUAUAAUUGCUUUUUUGUCUGAAACGCAGCUACAAUUUAUGCAGUGUCCGUCCAAAGUUAUUCUUUUGGAGAAGCAACUUCUUAUUUUUUAAUAACAUAUGAUAAACGAUGGCUUCAUUGCGAAGGGAGAAAAUGAAAUGUUGGAAUUUAUUAAAUUUUAUUCGACAGUUUACUGUUUUAUAUCGUCGUGUCAGUUUAUCUCUGUUAUGAAAUAAUUGCACUACUCAUUAUUGAAAGAGCCAUAUUAAUAAAAAUUAUUUUACUAACACGUUGUUAGCCAACAAUUAGAAAAGCUACUGCGAAUUGUAGCAUUACAUGUUUUCAAAAUCAGCGUAAACAUCAGGAUAAAUAAACGCAAUUUUAUAUGAAAUAGAGGUUAUCCCAUUCCUUGAGUCGUCUUCAAAAAUGAGUGGUAUGUAGUAUAGCAAAUGCCACUACAUUGUAUGAUUAUCUGGUGCUACGUGGUAUAUACCGCCAAAUUUAAAAACUAUUAACUAUGUUUGGAAUCAACUAUUGUUUUUUGUGUAGCUUAAUCGUAGGUGAACGUAGAUAUAGUGCAGUUUACGAAAUAAGAAGCAGUACACCGAUGCUGUAUUAUAUAACUAUCAUACUAUGUUUCUUUAACUAAUUAACUCAAUAAGUUAACGAAUUUUUAUCUCUCAUAUAAAAAUAUUUUGUAUUAACAUUACUGCUUCUAUUUUCAAAAAGUACGAUUCCUUUAAAGUUUUAGAUAUUUGAGUAGUGCAUGAGUUAAUUAACUGGAAUUGUUAAUUUUGUAUCGGUAACAUUAUGUCUUAUGUGAAAAUUUAAUGUAUUAUUUGCUAUAUUUUGCAUUUACGAAAAUUUAAUAUUAAAAUAUGUAAACACCUCAUCCCACGCAUUACAAAUAUUGUAAUACAAAUAACUAACUCUUUACCGCAAAUUCCUUUUGUCUCGUUUCGAAAAAUUUGUAUCUCUGUUCCGAUCGAUAAAGAAUAUUUAAGAUAUCAAUAUGCAAGUAAAAGAAUCAUUGAAAAUAAAAUCUUAAUUAAGGUACUAUGGCAUAUCAGCAUUGCACAUCAUGUACUUCAACAAUUAUUGUCUUAUUGAUUGACUACCUUUUAUUACCGCGAGCUUUUGCAAAAACAUUUUUGUCGCAAAAGUUUCCAAUUGUUUGCACACAUAAUAUAGUGCGUUUAUACAUACAUAUAUGAAUUUAUAACGUUUCUAACUAUAUAUAAAUAUAAUAUAAGCAUUUGACACACCUCAAAGAAAGAUUUGUAAAACGAGCUAUUUCGUGAUACUCAGGUAGUCAGUGCGAAAAAACGAAGACUGCAAUUUGAUAUAAUUGAAACUUAUCGUAAUUACAUUAGAACAUUUCUAUUAUCGAUAAUUGGCAAAAAAAAAAAAAAAAACGUUCAUUAAUUCGAUUUUAAAGUUACGACAAAAUCUUAACAAGCUGCGAUUAAUCUUCAUGAUGACUUGCAAUGACUGUCUGGGUAAGUUUAUGACUUUUCGAACGAGAUUGCCGAAAGUCAUCAUACUUGGAACUCUGAGGACCAUAAACUCACAAUAAAGUUUCUCGUUUUCUUCGUAUAUAUCUUGAUCGAAGUGUUAAAUUGAAACAUUUGUCCCUAUAGAAUCUUCUAUAUGGACUAUACUUCGUUUACGAUACUCGUAUGAAAAGUUAACAUUAGUGUAACGUAAAGUGAUUAAUGAGUAAUCUAAAUUAAUCAAAAUAAAAAAGGAAAAAAAGAAAAACAAAUAAAAUCGAUGUUGUGUCUGAAUAAAUGUCCAUUAUAUCGUCUGCAUGACGAAAUAUACCAAAUUAUUUAACCAUCGACUAAUUUUAAGAGAUUUAGAUUAAAUUAAUUACAAAAAAAAGUGUAGCGUAGAAAGGAUCGAUGUACCGUGUUAGUUUAGUCAAGUAGAUGAGUGUCAUGCGCCUCGUAUAACCUAUAUAAUUAUAAUUUGAAGCAAUGCGAGACUUCUUAGUUAUUAGUAGUAUAUUGACGUAUAUAAUAUAUAAAUAUGUUUAUUUUGUACUGAAUGUAUUUCGCAUUGAUGUAUUUUUCGCAGGCGUCGAUCUCGACGCGAUCUCGGACAUUAAAAAGUAAAAAGGAAAAAGAGUCAUCGCUUCAUUUCGUGAAUGUAUUUUAUCGUAGACUAUGUAAAUGUAGAUUUUAUAAUGUUGUAAUAAAAGGAUUUCUUCUUACAUAGUUCGACUUACCCCUGUGGUACGCGAUAAUAGAUAAUAAAAGUAUUUAUAGUUCAUUUUUACAUUCUACAACAUUAUGUAGAUAUUGAUGUUAGAAAUAGAAAUAUAGAAGUAGAGCUGUACAUUAAUUAUGUGAAUAUGCUUGAAUCUGAUAAACUACAAUCUAUAAAUUCA